rnacentral:rRNA from 1 species
UACGGGGGGAGCAAGCGUUGCUCGGAUUUACUGGGCGUAAAGGGCGCGUAGGCGGUCAGCACAAGUCAAUUGUGAAAUCUCCGAGCUUAACUCGGAAAGGUCAACUGAAACUGUGCGACUAGAGUGCGGAAGGGGCAACUGGAAUUCUUGGUGUAGCGGUGAAAUGCGUAGAUAUCAAGAGGAACACCUGCGGCGAAGGCGGGUUGCUGGGCCGACACUGACGCUGAGGCGCGAAAGCCAGGGGAGCGAACGGG